UAUCUCCAUUAACAGGGAUAGUUGGACAAACCGAUUUAAAAGUGCAUGAUGGAUUACGUGGUUAAAACAAUUUUUUGUGCUUUUGUUCUCGUUUGUUUCCAGUAAAGUAUGUCACCUUUUGUCUGAUCAUUUAGAGCAAUAUUAAUGAUAACGUAACGCGCACAGUGUAAUUCUGUGCACAUAAGUAAAGAAAAAGUGUUUGUGUCUCCUUGAAAACAUCAAUGGAAUAUAAUACAUUUAAUAAAUAAAUGUAUGUCUACAAAAUAAUAUGAUGUUUGCUUUUAAACAUGCUAUAUACGUUCUUGUACAAAGAAAAAAAUCACAGAAUAUGGAUUUUAAAUGAUCGUUAUUUCUUCAAGUAUUUUGAUUCAACGUCGAUUUUUGGUUGUAAAGGUCAGUAUCGGUCGUCGAUCAAAUUUCGAUGUUGAAUCAACUUCACUAUUUGGUCGGAACAUCAGAACAUUAUUUAGUGGAAAAUAAAGCAUCGAUUCAACGUCGAAAUCACGUUGACUCAUCAACCGACACAGCCGACGCAUCUGAUCGAAAUCAUAACGUCGGAUCAAUGUUGAAACUUGAUCAGAGGCAUCGGAGAUCUGCGCGCGCACUCUCACAGAAAGAAAAAGAGUAACUAAAUGUAUUUGUAUUCAUUAUUUUAUAUAGCCUCGUGGGUUGUCCGUCUGCCACUGAAUAUUAUAUGCUAAGUUACUUAAAGUCUGAAGUGGAAUUUGUUUUCUUCUUUUUUUUAAGGAAACAAGCGGUGAGAAAACAAAUAGAGUGCCAGCGUUAGAGGUUCAAGUCAACUAUUUGGUCUCACAGUAUACACACACACAAGCCGAUUUUGUAAUGAGCUAAUCGGGGGUUGAGUGUUUCUGUAAAUUCGGCGUGUUUUAACGAGCGCGCGCUGAACAUUGGAGCGCGUUCAUUCAGAUUCAAACACCGGAGCGGAGGGAGUUGCCAUGGAAACGGGCGAUUGACAACACUGGCAAGCUGCACGCUCCGUGUCUCGCUGCUGUUUUCACUGAUUUCGCAUCUGUUGAAUUUACUUCAUAGAAAUGGUUUUCGAACAAGUCCGUGAGCAUCUUAACCGUUAUCAGAGGAGAUUCUUCUAGUGUUUGAUGAACUUCUGCAUCCCAUGAUGAGCAAACCUGUCCAACAACAUCUCCAAGACACACUGAUCCAUAUGACUAGCAGCAAAAAAUACAUCGUGGACCAAAGAGGAAACUGACAACACACUGACAGAGGAAUACAGAGAAGGUCACUUCUGUCUUCUCCCACAGAUCCAUCAGAGUCCUCAUCUUCUGUGUCUGAAUUGAACAGCUGGGCAACAGCUUUUGAACAGCUUUCUUCAUCAAACAUGCAGGGUUCCCUCUCAUCGUGGUUGAUCGCUGCCAGCGUACGUAGUGUACGUAUUACGUCCCUGUGUCAGCGGGAAAUGGUCCAACAGUCAGCCUCGCGUGUGGAGACUUCAGAAGAUGCCAGACCUCACAAAGAUUUCAGAUGAUGGAAACUAUAGAUGAACAUGCAAAGCUGUUAAAUAAUCCUUAUAUUGUAAUCAUUGCCCUAAAAGGGAGGAACUUGUCAGCAAAUCUACUUCACAGCACAUCAGUGAAAGCAGUUAACAGUUACAGACGUGUGUGUUGGAUCAGGGUCAGAUCUGAAUUCUGCAGGUUUCCUGUGAUGACCGUUGAAGAGAUCAGCACAUCAGAUGUUGGCCUGGACAGCUGUACCUACAGUACACCACACUGACUUCUUUGCAUGGAUAGCUGACUACUACUACUACUAUUAUGUUCUGUGAAGGUAUUAUUAUAGGAAACCUGAACACCUGUGACAGUGGAAAUGUUGUAAUGAAUAGUCACACAUUCAUAUUUGUAAAUUGAAAAUUUUUUAGUACUAACAAUGUUUCUUUUUAACUAAUUCUCUCCAGCAAACACAACAAAACAGUUACACCAUUUCAUAUUCUGCUUUGCACAAACCCUAUUCUACAAAUAAGAGAACAACAGUAUAGACCCUUUGCACGUGACGUCACCCUCUACUCGCACGAAUUGUGAAUGCCACGACGGACGGCAGAAGAGCUUUGCUGUAGGACGGACCGCAAGCCAAACGAGUACGAGUUCGUGUUCGUUCGUGUAAUAAAAUGUUUUGUUUUUUUUUUCGCUGCAGUGUUUUAAUGUGAAAGGCUGUGAAUUCUCUGUGGACUUCAAGUGUUCAGAGAAAUACAUCGCGACCCAGAUCGCAAACUGACAUAGAAUCAACGUAGAAUCGACGUUUCUCGCGGAGUCGAAACGACGUUGAUCUCCGACGUCGAUCCAACAUAGUUUUGCUCAUCGGGUUAACGUUGAUCCGACGUCAGGCGCGCCAUUCAAAACUAACGGAAAAUCGACGCAAUUGGUUGUCUUACCUAACGUUGAAUCGACGUCGAUUUCCAGUUAGUUGAAACGACGUCAGAGAAUCAAUACGUUUUCAACAUAAAAUCGAUCUAAUUGGUUUGCUUACCUAACAUUGAAACGACGUUGAUUUCAUUGGGGUAAAACUACUUUACUAUUCACAUUUUCUGCUUGUUUUAAAAAUCUCACAUACUUACUACUAAAUAAAUUAGCCUGUAUAAUUAAAACUUUAUUAAACACAUCACAUUCAGUCACAAUUUCUUUAUUAUUUAUACAAUACAGUUUAUACACAGUUACAAAUACAUGUGUAGAGCACAAACCUUCUCAAGUCAAGAAAAUGCUUUUACACACAAAUAGGUAUAAAGUAUAUUAUAGGCUAAUAUAAAUUGUGUCAAGUAAAAAAGCUAUUAAAAACAAAUUAAAAGCUAUAUUCACUGAAUAAAAAAAAAAAAUAUGACCAACUGUGUUUGACUUAUUUUCAGUGAGUCACAAAAGAAGAUGCAAGGCAGAACCUUACGAACUGACAGCCUCAGUCACAGUUCACUAUCAUUACUUUUCUAAAAAAAUAUAUAUACACAUAUAAAAAAAUAAUGGUGACGGAGGCUGUCACUCUUUGCUUUUGUGUUCCACAAAAUAAAAGACAUAUGAAUGAGAUGAUGAUUUAUAAAGACGACAGAGGUACAUAGUAGAUCAAUCAGUUUUCAUUUGCAAUCAAUACUUGAGUUGUUUGUAAUAUCAGGGAUGUGACCUAAUCAGGUCAGGUUUGAUCAUGUAGGCCACAAUAAAGUUAAUUUUUAGUUGAUUUUUUUGUAUAUAUAUGUCCUAUGACUCCAUGAUUAAAGCUGUAAUAUGUAGGAAUUUUGUAAUAAAAUGACCGAAAAUAA